rnacentral:rRNA from 1 species
AACGAACGCUGGCGGCAGGCUUAACACAUGCAAGUCGAACGGUUGUAGCAAUACAGCAGUGGCGCACGGGUGAGUAACACGUGGGAAUAUCCCUUUCAGUACGGAAUAACGUCGGGAAACUGACGCUAAUACCGUAUACACCUCCGGGUGAAAGAUUUAUCGCUGAAAGAUUAGCCCGCGUCAGGUUAGCUAGUUGGUGGGGUAACGGCCUACCAAGGCUCCGAUCUGUAGCUGGUCUUAGAGGACGAUCAGCCACACUGGAACUGAGACACGGUCCAGACUCCUACGGGAGGCAGCAGUGGGGAAUAUUGGACAAUGGGGGAAACCCUGAUCCAGCCAUGCCGCGUGAGUGAUGAAGGCCUUCGGGUUGUAAAGCUCUUUUGUCAGGGAAGAUGAUGACUGUACCUGAAGAAUAAGCCCCGGCUAACUUCGUGCCAGCCGCCGCCGUAAAAC